rfam:Heterocephalus glaber contig112436, whole genome shotgun sequence.
AGCUUUGCACAGUGGCAGUAUCAUAGCCAAUGAAGUUUAUCCAAGGUGAGAUUAUUGCUAAUUGAGAAAAU